rnacentral:rRNA from 1 species
UGACCUCGGAUCAGGUAGGGAUACCCGCUGAACUUAAGCAUAUCAAUAAGCGGAGGAAAAGAAACCAACCGGGAUUGCCUCAGUAACGGCGAGUGAAGCGGCAAGAGCUCAAAUUUGAAAUCUGGCCCCCUCGGGGUCCGAGUUGUAAUUUGCAGAGGAUGCUUCGGGUGCGGCCCCCGUCUAAGUGCCCUGGAACGGGCCGUCAUAGAGGGUGAGAAUCCCGUCUGGGACGGGGUGUCCGCGUCCGUGUGAAGCUCCUUCGACGAGUCGAGUUGUUUGGGAAUGCAGCUCUAAAUGGGUGGUAAAUUUCAUCUAAAGCUAAAUACUGGCCGGAGACCGAUAGCGCACAAGUAGAGUGAUCGAAAGAUGAAAAGCACUUUGAAAAGAGAGUUAAAAAGCACGUGAAAUUGUUGAAAGGGAAGCGCUUGCGACCAGACUCGCCCGCGGGGUUCAGCCGGCAUUCGUGCCGGUGUACUUCCCCGUGGGCGGGCCAGCGUCGGUUUGGGCGGCCGGUCAAAGGCCUCCGGAAUGUAGCACCCUUCGGGGUGCCUUAUAGCCGGGGGUGCAAUGCGGCCAGCCUGGACCGAGGAACGCGCUUCGGCACGGACGCUGGCAUAAUGGUCGUAAACGACC